UGUUGGUACCAUGACACUGAUCACAAACUUUCUUUGUCAACUCAUGCUUUGAUCCUGAGUUCAUAUAGUGCAUACACAUGAAAGUGUAACAUCAGUAGCGAAGAGCCAGUCACUCUUUGUUCUGAUUCUCUGGCCCAUGAGAGAGACAUUUACAGAUACAAAGCUUUGAGUCUCCAGCCCAAGAGGUAGGAAACAAUCACAAAAAAGUGUGUAAUCACCCAUUCAUCCAUCAACAUGUUAUCUUUCUUAUUCACAGGGUUCUGAGUUUUCCUGCUCUUGCAGAGUAUAAUUUAGACUUCAUUUUAAUGAGAAUGAUACACUUUACCAAGAAUUGAUUGAUAAUAGGAUUUUAGACAUGAAUUAUCAUUCACACAUACCAAAAACACAGAUCAGCGUAUAAACUAUUCAGUAGUUAUUCAUAAUGCCAUUUAUAAUCUGCAUAUUAAUAAGCAUGGUAGUCAAACGUGGGUUACAGACAUGAUAUGGAAUUAUUCAAUAUAGUGAUGUUUGAUUAUAAGCCCUCUUAGCAUCAUUUUCGGAUGAUCUUAUGCAAUUUUGAUAUGUACAGGCAGUCUCUGUGCCAUUCCAAGAGCGGUGAAGAAUUCAGUCCUGUGAGGAGGAGGUCAGAAGUUCUCAAGAGGGAGUCUGGUUUUAGCUCUCUUUCCUGGGUGGAACAUUUUUCUUUUGUUCUCCAUGUACUGAAAUACCAACAAACAUGGUACUCUCUAAAGAUCAGUCAUGAAUUAGACCCACAAAACAGAACAAGACAAAGCAAGAAUCCAACAUAACGUUUUUUUUUUUUGUUGUUGUUGUUUUUUAACAGUCAAUAAGUAUCCUGUUAUGACCCCAUUGUUUGUCUUUAGCUGUCUCCCAAACUGAAGUGCACGGACUCUCAAGUGUGCAUUUGAAGUGCGAUUGCAUAACAGCGUCACAACGUAAGCUGUCCCAAUUCAGAAUGCACCCUCCAAAGACCGCAUUCCAAGGCCGAUUGCAUCGGCGCGGAGAAGGCUGACGUAUUUCGAAAGCGACUUCAAAUGCGGCCUUCAUUUCCCAGGAAAAUGAAGUGUACAUCUGAUGGACACUUCGCACCCUUCCAUGUCCCAGAAUCACUUGUGCACAGAUGACGACGGUCUUUAUAUUUAAAGAACACUGCGGGUGAGAACUCUGUGGGGGAAUUCACAUUGAAAUGUAAGUAUUGUGUCUUCAUUUACUCAAAUAACUAGUGAAAGUGUUAAAAGCAAGGUUUUUUUUUUUUUUUUUUUUUUUUUUUUUUUUUUUUACACAAAGCCCACAAACAAUAAGACAACCACUAUAUAAGGCAAUAGUCUUUCCCGUUUUUUGUGUUUUUGUGGUGCUGUCAUUCAAGAUUAGCACUUAAGUAUUUUGUAUGCAUGUCCUGUUGUGUCAUAUUUGCAAACCUGUCUUUAAAUUUUUCAUAAGUGUUUACAUUUUCUUGUUUUAGUACUAUUCUGGAGAAAGACUGGGAAAGACUAAAAAAAUACAAAGUAAGCAAGUUAAUACACACAUUUUUGCUGAAAUGUAUUGUGUUGUUGUUGUUAACAGGCAUCGUUUACUUGCUCCUUAGGCUUGCAAGUGUCCUGGGAGUGUGAUUGGAGCUGCUCAGAGAGGACAUCAAACUCCAGAGAGCGACAGAGAAGAGAAGAACACAGGAGAGCAAGUGUGCUGGGACAGGUGAGAGAGUGAGUUGAAGCGGGUGGAGCUGCUCAGGGAGGACAUCAAACGCCAGAGAGAGACAGAGAAGAGAAGAAAACAGGAGAGCAAGUGUCCCGGGACAGGUGAGACACCAGGGUCUGGAUUGUGGCACCCCAUCUGUGGUGCCGUUUACCUCUCAGAAGAUCCAGCAGCACUGUCAGGGCCUCCCUGCUCAGCCAAAAACUGUUAAAAACCUGUCCAGCACUGCCACAUUCAGCUUUAUUUAUUUAGGAAAAGAAGGAAAAGAGAAACUGUUUAGAGCUAUGACAACUUAAUUAGUAGAAGAAAUAUUGAGGUACUUUAGUGUAGCGCCCCCUAGCAUGUAUAACUAUUAGUGUGGAGCCCACUCCCCGAAUUCCUAUUUAUCAAAAGAUCUCUCUCUAAAUUAAUUAAUGCGCUAAAUGUAAUUCCCUAAUUAUUACUUGCUUGUUACUGUAAAUCGUGCUGACUAGCAGUUCACUCUUUCUCCUCGUGGAAAACAAUGACCGAGUUCCUCAAAACCACCAACUUUCACGCUGUAAACAGUCAAAUGUCUGUAACUCACUCUUCAAGCAGGCUACAAGUACAUCUACUUCAGCACCUAGAAAGGACCUCUACAGCCCUGAAAGACAGCGGAGACCAGGACUAGAGCCCCAGAGACAGAUCCCCUGUAAAGACCUUGUCUCAGAGGACCACUGGGACAAGACCACAGGAAACAGAUGAUUCUUCUGCACAAUCUGACUUUGCUGCAGCCUGGAAUUGAACUGCUGGUUUCGUCUGGUCAGAGGAGAACUGGCCCCCCGACUGAGCCUGGUUUCUCCCAAGGUUUUUUCUCCAUUCUGUCACUGAUGGAGUUUUGGUUCCUUGCCGCUGUCGCCUCUGGCUUGCUUAGUUGGGGACACUUCAUUUACAGCGAUAUCGUUGACUUGAUUGCAAAUUAUUGCACAGAUACUGUGUAAACUGAACUGAGCUGCAUGAUGACAUCACUGAAUUCAAUGAUGAACUGCCUUUAACUGUCAUUUUGCAUUAUUGACACACUGUUUUCCUAAUUGAUGUUGUUCAGUUGCUUUGACGCAAUCUUUUUUGUUUAAAGCGCUAUAUAAAUAAAGAUGACUUGACUUGACUUGAUCUACUAUCA
ensembl:lncRNA